CCACGAGCAGCUCCACUGCUUGACGCGUGGGAUUGCCCAGUUUUUGGGCAUCGCGGAGCACAUGCCCUAUCUCUUGCUGCACAUCUCUCUCCACUUCCGCUGUUCCGCGCGAUCUCCUCCACCAAACUCACCUUCAUUCAAUGAUCUUGCCCCGCUUUGCAAUCUCUCAUGGCCGACACCUUGGUCUAUCGGGCGCAGCUCAUGCUCAUCUCCGAUUCGCCGUGCCUGCCGUCGCGGCGCCCCACCUCCUCCCGGCCCCGGCGUACGCGCGCCCCGGCCGCUACGACAAGGCGAGAACCUGCUCACCGUCCGGGACCAUUGCCCAUUUGCUUUUUCCUGCCUAGGCGCCCCGGAGAUCUCGCACUCAUGGGGAUGCCGUCCGGGAUAUUCCUGCGCUAUCUCCGCGUCGACUCCGCCCACAGGCGACGCCAUCGUGCGCCGCUCUGCCUGCUCUGGAACCAUCCCGCCGAUGGAGGCGGCGGCGGGUAGGCUCAGGAGGUUCAUCCUCUAAACUCGGUUCGCAACCGGUGUCAGCUCCGUGUUCGGAUCGGCAAUCGACUCUCGGACCUCCUCUCCUACGUGGUCAACUUCAAGAUGAAGUCCCUGCAGCGUGCCUUCAUGUAUUCCGGUCGGACCUCACCGCCCGGCAUGUUGCACUUCCCCUACUGCCGCAGGCAGGGCUUCUUUUCACGCUCUGUCACAUGCCUGAUUCUCCUCCUUCAUAUCCAUAGAAUGAUCUUGCCCACCACAUGUUCGUUCGAAUGUCCAACAAUUUGGGCAUGGAUGAUUGCCGAGUGAGUUUUAUGUUUUCCAUGUGUCUUUUAGUGGAAGUUUUAGUUUGAUUCGUGUAGAUAGAGAUAGUUUCAGAUCUGAUAUAGAUAUGGAUAUUACCUUUUAACGUUUUUGAUCUCUGGUUGAAUAAUUCUUUUUUGUCAGCAAGAAAUGAACUUAAGACACAAAAAUGCUUAUCUUAAAUGUGUUUCAAGGAUAAGACACUUAACUUCUGCUUUGAGCGGCGAGAUGCAGUCAAAGAUGGCAAUUGCAGUGUUGAUCUGGUGAUAAAUUCAGAUUUAGGUGGCCUUGCAGUGCUGACAGUGAUUCUUACUUCUUGGUUAGUCAUGUUGUUCUGCUAGGACACCUUUUUGGCAGCUCCAAGAUGCUUCUCACCACCGCCCUCAUGCGUCCAGGAAAGAGCAGCGGCGUUGAAGGAUUGGGCAAAGCUGCCCUGCACUUACGAGCCAGUGAGCUAGCUCUUGUGAGUUGCAUAUCCAACAAAAAAAGAGCAGUAGCAGCCCCAUGGUGAGCAUGGGGACACGGAGGCUAGCAACGACCACAUGGUGAGCUGAUGAGCUAGCUCGCCACUGAGGUUGCUUUCAGAUUUUCGCUGGUCAAAAUGGUUGAUGUGGAUCUAGAUGGGUUGUUUAGAUGUGGAUUUAGGUGGUUAUAAGGUCGUGAAGUUUCAUCAAGUGCGAUAAGUAUCUGGCAAUACUAAGCAUUAUUUGUUUUGGACGAGUCAAUCCUAUGGUGAUUUCUUCAAUUAGGUUAUCUGAAAUAGGCGCAUGGUUUGUUUUGUGGUGUUGACGAACUGCCAGCACAAAGAAAGCAACGUAUUAGUGGAUGGUGACAAGAAGACUGGUGUGUCUUAAGUUCAUGGUGUUCAAUAGGUAAGGGUAGGCGUGCUUUCUUUUUUUUAUGGCAAAAAAAUUAGGUGAUUCAUGUUAUUUUUCAUGCUCUAAAAGCCUUCACAUACAUAUUAGUUGGUUCACUGAUUCAUGUGAUUUUUCCUGCUCCAAAAUAUUUCUCAUAUAAUCAUGACAAUGAAGCAUCUAAUAGUCAAAUAAUGUUUGUUUUGGUGGUUUCAUUGUGUUCUCAGUGUGGUUAUUUAUUGAGUUUACCUAUAUUUCCCUUUUCUACUUUGUAAUUAUGAUGCACUUGAUUGCACAAGAUUUUUCUAUUAGCAUUCAGAUUUACGCAAAUGUGAUAGAUUUUUCUGGGUUUAUUUUUCUAAUACCAUAGUUGAUGGUGCUUUCUAGAAUAAGAUGGAGAAAGGUCCAAGCACUCAUGUAAAGUAUAUUUGCAUUAGCAUUAAUAUUUUGAUACGAUAGAAGAACUGAGCAUUCACCAUAUGUUGAUGUUACCAUUCAGGUUCAAUACUAAUAAGCUACACUAUGUUUAAUUUUAUUAAAAUAGUUCAAUUGAUACUUCAUUUGUAUAAUAAGAGUUUGUUUUGUCUGGCAGGAUUAAAAUUAUGCAUUAAAAAAUUCCACAUAUUUUAGUCCGGGAGGACAAAAUAAAUGUACUCCUGAACUAAAAGGUUGUUCUUAAUUGAAUUUUACUUCUACCUUUGACUUCAGAGGUUAUGCUCAAGUCCAUGAGCCAGCAAUAUAUAGCUUUAUAUUUUGUAACCAAUGACCAUGGUUUGAUGUUUGUCUUUCCAUAUAAAUUAUGUUAGUGAUUCCUUCAGAGUGUUGGUUCUUUCUCUGUUUGUGUGGCCAUGGAAAACCCAGAUCAGCGAACAGUUUGUUUUGCACCAUUCUUUGUGUCCAUGUUCUAUUUUUUGUAUCAACCAAAGCACGGAGUUAAAAUUCUAUAUUACUGUUAAAUCAAGCACUGCAGAAUAGAGACUGUGAACUGAGCCUAAACGAUGGAAGAAGAUUUUUUCUUCUCUGUCGACUAAGAACUAAGAACCCUCGAAAAUCUGUUGUUACUCUGAGGCUUUUUCACUUCAUGGUAAUUUGAUAGGAUUAAAAUUUACAUGUUUAAUGGAAGAGAGAAUAGAAAGGAACACAAAUUUAAAUGGCUUGCCCUUUGGCACUAUGUGAAAGAUUCCAGUAAGACAAUGGAUAAUUCCAAAGAAUGGUAUCCGAGGUUUAGUAGAAAAUGAGAUCUCUUGCAUGAUGUAAACAAAAUUUUGAAUUACGGUAUUUAUUCAUGGAUUAAACAAAAAUAGGAGACCAGAUCUAUGGCAUGUUGGCACUAGCACUACUGAAGUAAAACAAGUGCAGGGCUCUCCAUCAAGCAGACUGUCCAGCAUGCCACCUUCGGUAUGCUCCCUUUGGCAUUGUGUGAAAGAUUCCACUAAGACAAUGGAUAAUUCCCAAGAAUGGUAUCCGAGGUUUAGUACAAAAUGAGAUCUAUGGCAUGAUGUAAACAAAAAAUUGAAUUAUGGUAUUUAUUUAUGGAUUAAACAGAAAUAGGAGAUCAGAUAUAUGGCAUGCUGGCACUAGCACUACAGAAGUAAACCAAGUGCAGGGCUCUCUAUCAAGCAGACUGUCCAGCACACCACCUUCGAUACGCUCCCACCAUCACGUAUAUGCUGCAGUGUUUCUUUUUCGUUUCUCAUGUGGUCGAGCACUUGAGCCUUAGUAUGCCGAAGCUUGCAGUUUGAUUUUAUUGUGCUUGUAGAGAAAAGAAAGUCCAUGACCCCAAGGAGGUGGCAGGGCAGGGGGCGGCAGACUAUGCCAGGUAUACCAGGGGUCAUGGCAAAGGCCGGGCGUGGAGGGGGCCAUAUUUUGUGAUUACUUGGUCCUUCUACAAAACCAUGGUACCAGUUCAUUUUUGACAAAACAUGGAGAUUAUAAGUUAGUACAUUGGCCUUUUCUACUUCAUGUGGACAAAUGAACUAAUUAACAAUAUUUCGAGCAUUUAAUUCAAAGUAAUUGAUUAUUUAGGUCUAAUGAGUACUAAAUGUAUGUAUAGCUUGGUUAAUAACCAAUACAGGUAUUCUGCUGAAAUAAUUUUCUUCGACAUACAUGAUAAUAGUCUUUUAGCGUUUACUCUUGCAUUUGGAAGGGCUACAAAAUUUACAUUAUGUUCUAUGUCAUAUGAUUAUGUAAGAAUGGUGUUGCGGGCUUCGUGUUAACUGAUUAUGGUACAAUUUCAGUGAGAAGUUCCCUAUUACGGGUUAGGGCUUUGACAAUUUUUGAUGGAUCUCUUGAAGUAGUGGUUCUGAACUUGAUAAGAAGGAAACAAGACUGGAGUUGAUAUCUUCAUAUCGUUGACUAUGGUUGAUUCAAUACUAGAAGGAUGAAAGAAGCUUGCCAUGGUUGGUUUUGUACUACUUUGUAGGAGGCGAGGAGUUCUUGAGAAUUUACAAGGUUUAUGAACUCUGGGAGCUGGAAACAGAAACCACCUAUAUUGGUAGAUUACUUACCAAUUUACCUUGACAAGGACAAUUCAUAAGUAAUAUUGAGGAUAUUAUGGUUCCUCUUUGGUUUCAAAUUGCAGAGGCGCUACAUCAAAUUGCUUCAUUGUUUUUAGUGUAUACUUACAUUUAAAUUAGCUCCAAUGUUCCUAGGAAAGCUUAGCUCUGUAGCCAAAGGACCAUCAAAGCUACAUAAGAUUGCACACUAUAAGUUAUAAUGUUCCCUUCUGUGUACUACAGAUUUUUGGCAUAUAUGAAGUAGUUUCCAGAAGCAUAGCAUUAGAUGCUGAUGUAUAAUCAACUUGGCAGAGGUACCAUUCACAUUCUUCAAACUUCAGGACGAACUUGCUUGAGAACAAUGAAGAUAUCCACAUUCUUCAAACUUCAGCAAGCAGCAGUUGUUCUUGGGUCGCUGUCAAAGCCAUUGUAGAAGAGGUGAAUGUUAUCUUAUACAUCCAUGCGAUCAUCAACAUGAUGAGCUUGCAAACAUCUUUUCCCAGCAUAUUACGGGGGAAAAAUAACAGAUACCAUGGUACAUUGUUAUUUUUUCCUACUUUAUCAAUAAUAACUUGUAGCAUGUGUCGUGUAGGGGUCUUCAAACACCCAAAAUUGUGUGUCACAAUUGAUUCUGUUUUUUAAUACAAGAAAUAAAUGUAUUUGCUGCUUCUCAAUAUUUUGAGUCUGAAUUGAUUUAGAGAAGGUAUCCAUAUCUGUGGUGAUGUUCCUUCUUCAAUUUCUAUUUCGGUUUUGAUCUGUACUGUCGGUACUGUGGUACUACUCUGUAAGUUUUUUUACCAUUUUUUCCUCACAUGUUGUGCUAAAUAUGAGAGAAGAAUCUAGGAUUAAAGUUAGUGUGCAUGUAUUAGUAUAUGUGAUAUUUUGAAUAUGCAUCAAGUGAGCUACUUAGUUUUUCUCAAAGUAUAAUGUUUUAUAGGACAUAUGGGAAUGAGAAAGUUUAUGCCUCAGGAGGGUUUCUGCAACUUGACCCUGCAUGUCUGCCCAUCGACUGAGUGCAUCAUCGUCUUUUGUAACUCGACUCUUGCACGUCUCCUGACAAGAAAGAGGGCAUCAUCAGCUUUGAGUCAUGUCCCAUGUGUCAUUAUUCUUGAGAGAAGAAAAAUAUUGUUAUCAUGAGAUGACAGAACCAUUGCCAAUGUACGAACAACCAUUACUUCCAAUUUUUAGAGCAACAUUUAAUCAUGAAAUGGGAGGGCUAUUGUUUAGUGUGA